UAAUUUCUCCCAAACAAGCACUACUGAAAUUCAUACUGGAAAAUUGAUCUUGUAACAUAUACUCUGGGACUGAACUUACGAAAUGAGCUGUGGAAUGAAAUAUCCUAUAAUGAACCAUCUAUAUUAAGCAAUCAAGGGUGUAUUACUUUUAACUUUUACAGACAAAUAUAUGCGCUAAAUCAGAACAUUUCAACAGAAAAGGUGCCAAAAUAAAUAGUACAUUUUAUAUAUUAUUAGAAGAGUGAAAAGAGAAGUUUUACUAGACAUAAGAAAGAACACACGAUCUUUGUAAAAACGUAGUGAUCUGCCAAAAGAUAAGGGGCAUAUGGUCCUUAGGGUUAAUUGAUAUAAAUAGAAGAAAUGCAAGAGUAGCUAAAAUCCACCCUCAAGAUGAUGCCUCUCCCGAACAGUCGAAACAUUGCAUAAUUAGCGACGAUUCAACAUAGUGAGAGUGGCGCCAUCUUCCUUUUCCUUUUAUGGGGAUUGGGGAAGCAUGUGAACCCACACACGAGAAUCAUGUAAAUUAAUAUGGAUAAGCAAUAAAUCAACCAGAGGCUACCAUGUGCCAUAUGUUUAAGAUAUAAUUCUAUGUGAAAUAAACUCCUUCAACAUCUUUGAUGCCUGUACCAUAUGUUUGUAAGAGCCCAUAAGAAGUAUCAUCAUCCUCUAAUAGUAAUCUGGCAUUCCAUGUGUUCUGCUUUGCUUUGUCAUUUAAUUUUUAUUAUACCCAUCUCUUUCUACAUCGUACACUUAUAUGCAACUAGCCUCUUUCCUCACUCUUCCACCCAAGAAACAUACUUAUUGUAUUACAUUUUCCAUUCUCUUUAAAUAAGCAUGUGGAGGUUAUUUUCACUGGAAUGUGCAAGUUUUCUUCUUAGUUCUAGCAUACUAAUCUUUUCAUUUACGGUCAAUCUUCCUACCACUAGAUAUAUCUUAAGCAAUCAACAAUACUUUACAUUUUGGUGUCUCACUAUUCCUAAACUACUAGAGCUUCUUAGGUACCUUUUGCACGUUCUCAAAUCUUAGUUGUCAAAAGGUGUUCCCAUGUUUCUUCAUCUAAUCGUGUUAUGUUUUCUUUUAUUCAUUGAUUCUGCUUCUCAAUCUUAGACAUCAAAAUGUCUUUAUGUAGUAACUAAUUUUUACUUUGUGCUUCAUACAAAUACAAAUAAAUAAAGGCAUUAACAACAGUAGAAGAAAGUGUAAUGACCUGUGUUGUUACAAAUACAUGUUUCCUACAACAAAGAUAUGAC
rnacentral:lncRNA from 1 species